rfam:Triticum aestivum genome assembly, contig: Triticum_aestivum_CS42_TGACv1_scaffold_096606_2AL
UUUCUACUUCCUCCGUCCGAAAAAACUUGUCCCAAGCUUGUCCCUCAAAUAAAUGUAUCUAGCACCAAAUUAGUGCUAGACUAGAUACAUCCAUUUAAGGGACAAACUUUUUCAGACGGAGGAAGUAGAUU